rnacentral:rRNA from 1 species
CCUACGGGAGGCAGCAGUGGGGAAUAUUGGGCAAUGGACGCAAGUCUGACCCAGCAACGCCGCGUGAAGGAAGAAGGCUUUCGGGUUGUAAACUUCUUUUAAGGGGGAAGAGCAGAAGACGGUACCCCUUGAAUAAGCCACGGCUAACUACGUGCCAGCAGGCGCGGUAAUACGUAGGUGGCAAGCGUUGUCCGGAUUUACUGGGUGGAAAGGGCGUGUAGCCGGAGAGACAAGUCAGAUGUGAAAUCCACGGGCGCAACCCGUGGACUGCAUUUGAAACUGUUUCCCUUGAGUGUCGGAGAGGUAAGCGGAAUUCCUUGUGUAGCGGUGAAAUGCGUAGAUAUAAGGAAGAACACCAGUGGCGAAGGCGGAUUACUGGACGAUAACUGACGGUGAGGCGCGAAAGCGUGGGGAGCAAACAGGAUUAGAUACCCUUGUAGUC